UACAGAGGUCUCAAGCGUUGUUCGGAUUCAUUGGGCGUAAAGGGUGCGUAGGUGGCGCUGUAAGUCGGGUGUGAAAUUUCGGAGCUUAACUCCGAAACUGCAUUCGAUACUGCCGUGCUUGAGGACUGGAGAGGAGACUGGAAUUCAUGGUGUAGCAGUGAAAUGCGUAGAGAUCAUGAGGAAGACCAGUGGCGAAGGCGGGUCUCUGGACAGUUCCUGACACUGAGACACGAAGGCCAGGGGAGCAAACGGG
rnacentral:rRNA from 1 species